rnacentral:rRNA from 1 species
CACGUGGAUUGCCUUAGUACGGCGAGUGAAGCGGCAAAAGCUCAAAUUUGAAAUCUGGUACCUUCGGUGCCCGAGUUGUAAUUUGGAGAGGGCAACUUUGGGGCCGUUCCUUGUCUAUGUUCCUUGGAACAGGACGUCAUAGAGGGUGAGAAUCCCGUGUGGCGAGGAGUGCGGUUCUUUGUAAAGUGCCUUCGAAGAGUCGAGUUGUUUGGGAAUGCAGCUCUAAGUGGGUGGUAAAUUCCAUCUAAAGCUAAAUAUUGGCGAGAGACCGAUAGCGAACAAGUACAGUGAUGGAAAGAUGAAAAGAACUUUGAAAAGAGAGUGAAAAAGUACGUGAAAUUGUUGAAAGGGAAGGGCAUUUGAUCAGACAUGGUGUUUUGUGCCCUCUGCUCCUUGUGGGUAGGGGAAUCUCGCAUUUCACUGGGCCAGCAUCAGUUUUGGUGGCAGGAUAAAUCCAUAGGAAUGUAGCUUGCCUCGGUAAGUAUUAUAGCCUGUGGGAAUACUGCCAGCUGGGACUGAGGACUGCGACGUAAGUCAAGGAUGCUGGCAUAAUGGUUAUAUGCCGCCCGUCUUGAACCACACGAAACCA